UACGUAGGGUCCGAGCGUUGUCCGGAAUUAUUGGGCGUAAAGAGCUCGUAGGCGGUUUGUCGCGUCUGCUGUGAAAUCCCGAGGCUCAACCUCGGGUCUGCAGUGGGUACGGGCAGACUGGAGUGCGGUAGGGGAGAAUGGAAUUCCUGGUGUAGCGGUGAAAUGCGCAGAUAUCAGGAGGAACACCGGUGGCGAAGGCGGGUCUCUGGGCCGAUACUGACGCUGAGGCGCGAAAGCGUGGGGAGCAAACAGG
rnacentral:rRNA from 1 species